UGCCUAGCUGGAGCAAAAUCCAAAAUGGCGACCUUGAGUAAAACUUCUCCAGAAUUUCGUAACUUUUUUAUCUAUAACUCGACAUUAGGACCAAAGGAAGGCAUGGAAAAAGAGAAGAUCUUACUUUACCUUCCUGCUGAAGAGGAUAUAGAAAAGAAAAUCAGAAAUGUUGGACUUUGCGAGGCAAUUGUGAAAUUUACUGAGCAGUUCACUCCAGACAAACCAUGUGAGUCAGUUCAUACUCAAAAGACAAGACAGGUUUUUUAUGAACCAGAGAAAGAUUACUGGAUGAUCAUGACGGUGACUAUUCCCUUCAGUGAGAAGAUUGUGGACAGCGCUGGUAAAGAACCUGAACGACAUUAUCACAGUGAAGAUGUUCAUGAUACAGUUUUACGAUCAGUUUUGAAGCAAACCUAUCAGAUGUUCAAGUUGUUCAAUGGUUCAUUCCAACACAUCCUUUCAAUUUGUGAUUUGGCUGAGUUACGGAGAAGAUUAGAAUAUUUCUUUGGAAGAUAUCUAGUGACAAUCAACUUUUCAAAAGUGGAUAUUCUUAGCGUUUUCUCAGGGAUACAGUUCCUUCCAUUGGACAAAAAUACUUUUCUCAAAGUCAGUUGUUUCAUGAAUUUGAUUGAAUACAAGUUCAAUUCAAUAAAGUACACAGUAUUCAUGUUUGAUGAUCAAAUAGUGUGGAGUGGUCUGGAACAGGAGGAUAUGAGAGUUUUGUACAAAUAUCUGACAACCAGUUUGAUUCCAGUUACAAAUGAUGAGUGGGUCAUGUACGAUAAACAAAUGGUUGCUAGAGGAGAGAAUACCAUGUCAAGAACUCAUAGAGGAAGGUUCGUCACUUGUCCUUCAGAUGUAACGGAUGAGACGCGGGGUCCUCCGAGAAAACUUCCUCGUAUUUUUAUCGAAGAAGAUGAUGUUUUAAAAGAAUUCUUUCUUGUUGUCUACCAGGCUCUGGACGCUGUGGUUUGCAUGCUAGUGACAGUGCAUCAACCACCUGAUAAGGAAUUCUGUAAACAGCUGAGCGCUUUCGUUGGACCUCGUUUGACAAGUUUGGCCAACAGCAUAGGAGACCACAAUAAGAAAACCAUUGCGAAUACACCGGAUCACGAAUACCGUUACGUGUAUUUCAAUCAUAUGAACUUGGCCCAGAAAACAACGAUGCAUAACAAGAAACAGAACCAGAUGUGUGUCUCUCCAGAAAUUAUCAAAAUUAUAUGCAACAUCAACGCAGAUUUUGCCAGGGCUAACGAAGAUGGCGAGGUCUUUAUGAAAACACUGACCGACUGCUGGGUUGUCGGCAGAAAAUCUGACCAACGAGAACUUUAUGUUAUUCUUCAUCAAAAGAACGCAAAUUUGAUUGACGUGAACGAGGAAGUGAAGAAAAUGACCGCCACUCAUUUCAGCCAUAUCUUCUUUCUCGACUAAACUGGAGUGAUGAACUACAUCCAUCGUUCACGGUGAAGGUAACACGCUUUGAAUUCUAUCCCUCAAAGAACCAGUAUCACCGACAGUCUUGUUUUUCUUGAAUGUUAAGAACACAAGAUCAUCAAGAUCUAUCUCUGGUUAUCGUUUAUGGUUUCCAUUCAUGAUGGUAACUAGUGGUAGUAACCAGGGAUAGCAACCUUGCAUGGUAACCAUGGAUAAUAACCAUGGAUUCAACCACGGGUAAUAACUAUGGAUAGUAACCAUGGGUAAUAACUAUGAAUAGUAACCAUGGGUAAUAACUAACCAUGGAUAGUAACCACGGGUAAUAACUAUGGAUAGUAACCAUGGGUAAUAACUAACCAUGGAUAGUAACCAUGGAAUAUUAAUAACUUGGCAGGCAUAAUUGCUUUCAUACGGAUGAAGGCGGAGUUGAAAUUAUCCUCAGAAUUUAAAAGCAAUCAGGCAUUUGUCGAAUAUUUUGUAAAGAACAUAAUUGUACAUAAACAGACAUUUUAAAUGUG
rnacentral:misc_RNA from 1 species